AACGAACGCUGGCGGCGUGCCUAACACAUGCAAGUCGAACGAGAAAGGGGCUUCGGCUCCGAGUAAAGUGGCGCACGGGUGAGUAACACGUAGGUAACCUGCCUCUAAGAUUGGGAUAACCUGUCGAAAGACGAGCUAAUACCAAAUAAGACCACGGUCUCUUCGGGGACAGAGGUCAAAGGUAGCCUCUAUUUAUAAGCUAUCGCUGAGAGAUGGGCCUGCGUACCAUUAGCUAGUUGGUGAGGUAACGGCUCACCAAGGCAAAGAUGGUUAGCUGGUCUGGGAGGAUAAUCAGCCGGACUGGAACUAGGACACGGUCCAGACGCCUACGGGAGGCAGCAGUGGGGAGUAUUGCGCAAUGGGCGAAAGCCUGACGCAGCAACGCCGCGUGAGUGAUGAAGGCCUACGGGUCGUAAAGCUCUGUCGGAGGGAACGAAUGCUCUUGGGGUUAACAGCCUCGGGAGGUGACGGUACCCUCAAAGGAAGCACCGGCUAACUCUGUGCCAGCCGCCGCAGUAACAC
rnacentral:rRNA from 1 species